rnacentral:tRNA from 1 species
AAGGAUUUAAGUUAAAUUUAAACUAAUAGCCUUCAAAGCUGUAAAUAGAAGCUAUCUAAGCCUUA